UACGAAGGGGGCUAGCGUUGCUCGGAAUUACUGGGCGUAAAGCGCGCGUAGGUGGCCAUUUAAGUCCGCUGUGAAAGUCAAAGGCUCAACCUUUGAAAGCCGGUGGAUACUGGAUGGCUAGAGUACGGAAGAGGCGAGUGGAAUUCCUGGUGUAGCGGUGGAAUGCGCAGAUAUCAGGAGGAACACCAAUAGCGAAGGCAGCUCGCUGGGACGUUACUGACACUGAGGCGCGAAAGCGUGGGGAGCGAACAGG
rnacentral:rRNA from 1 species